rnacentral:rRNA from 1 species
GCAGUCGAACGAUGAAACCCAGCUUGCUGGGUGGAUUAGUGGCGAACGGGUGAGUAACACGUGGGGGAUCUGCCCUGCACUUCGGGAUAAGCCUGGGAAACUGGGUCUAAUACCGGAUAGGACCUCGGGAUGCAUGUUCCGGGGUGGAAAGGUUUUCCGGUGCAGGAUGGGCCCGCGGCCUAUCAGCUUGUUGGUGGGGUAACGGCCCACCAAGGCGACGACGGGUAGCCGGCCUGAGAGGGCGACCGGCCACACUGGGACUGAGACACGGCCCAGACUCCUACGGGAGGCAGCAGUGGGGAAUAUUGCACAAUGGGCGCAAGCCUGAUGCAGCGACGCCGCGUGAGGGAUGACGGCCUUCGGGUUGUAAACCUCUUUCAGUACCGACGAAGCGCAAGUGACGGUAGGUACAGAAGAAGCACCGGCCAACUACGUGCCAGCAGCCGCGGUAAUACGUAGGGUGCGAGCGUUGUCCGGAAUUACUGGGCGUAAAGAGCUCGUAGGCGGUUUGUCGCGUCGUCUGUGAAAACCCGCAGCUCAACUGCGGGCUUGCAGGCGAUACGGGCAGACUUGAGUACUGCAGGGGAGACUGGAAUUCCUGGUGUAGCGGUGAAAUGCGCAGAUAUCAUGAGGAACACCGGUGGCGAAGGCGGGUCUCUGGGCAGUAACUGACGCUGAGGAGCGAAAGCGUGGGUAGCGAACAGGAUUAGAUACCCUGGUAGUCCACGCCGUAAACGGUGGGCGCUAGGUGUGGGUUUCCUUCCACGGGGAUCCGUGCCGUACUAACGCAUUUAAGCGCCCCGCCUGGGGGAGUACGGCCGCCAGGCUAAACUCAAAGGAAUUUGACGGGGGCCCCGCACAAGCGGCGGAGCAUGUGGGAUUAAUUCGAUGCAACGCGAAAACCUUACCUGGGUUGACAUACCCCGGACCGCCCCAGAGAUGGGGUUUCCCUUGUGGCCGGUGUACAAGGUGGUGGCAAUGCUGUUCGUCAGCCUCGGGUCCGGAAAAGUUGGGUUAAAUUCCCGCAAC